rnacentral:lncRNA from 10 species
AUCUUCAGAGGUGGGGUACACAAGACUUUCAGGGGGCUGGCAAAGCUGCAGGAACUGUGCAGCUUAGGUGAACCCUGGAUUCUGCAAGCCCCAGUGGAGUUUUCUCAGCUUCUGGAACCACAGGCCAGAGCUGCCGGGGCAAUGGGGCUCCCAGCUUUGAGAUGGGAGUCUUGCUAUGUUUCCCGGGUUGGUCUUGAACUGAUGGCCUCAAGCAAUCCUCCCGCCUGAGCCUCUCAAAGUGCUGGGAUUACAGAGAAGUUGAAGAAUUGUUUGGUGUGAAAAUACCCACACAACUGAUGUCAGAAGUAUGAGCAGAGGACGUUUUCCCAACAACCCACCACCAUGACACUGUGAGUUUGGAGCUGGCAGUGGCAGGGCACAGAACACGUGGCUGGCUGCCCAGGUCCUUGGCAGGUCCCCUCCUGGAGUCAUCUCCCCACCUGGGGCCUCCACACCUACCUCGAAACCUCCGCAGUGUCU